UACGUAGGGUGCAAGCGUUGUCCGGAAUUAUUGGGCGUAAAGAGCUUGUAGGCGGUUUGUCGCGUCUGCUGUGAAAUUUCGGGGCUCAACCCCGAACUUGCAGUGGGUACGGGCAGACUAGAGUGUGGUAGGGGAGACUGGAAUUCCUGGUGUAGCGGUGAAAUGCGCAGAUAUCAGGAGGAACACCGGUGGCGAAGGCGGAUCUCUGGGCCUUACCUGACGCUGAGGCGCGAAAGCUAGGGGAGCGAACAGG
rnacentral:rRNA from 1 species